CCGAGAGCUGAAGCUGGUGGCUCCCAGUGAGUAGCUCAUGGGUCAGGACAACUAAGUCUUCAGC
rnacentral:miRNA from 1 species